UACGUAGGGGGCGAGCGUUGUCCGGAGUUACUGGGCGUAAAGCGCACGCAGGCGGUCUGCUAAGUUUGGAGUGACAGUUGGUGGCUCAACCACCAAAGUGCUUUGAAAACUGACAGACUUGAGGGCUUCAGAGGGACACGGAAUUCCGGGUGGAGUGGUGAAAUGCGUAGAGAUCCGGAGGUACACCAAAGGCGAAGGCAGUGUCCUGGGGAGUACCUGACGCUCAGGUGCGAAAGCCAGGGGAGCGAACGGG
rnacentral:rRNA from 1 species